rnacentral:rRNA from 1 species
AGCGGCGGACGGGUGAGUAACGCGUGGGUAACCUGCCCUGUACACACGGAUAACAUACCGAAAGGUAUGCUAAUACGAGAUAAAAUACUUUUAUCGCAUGGUAGAAGUAUCAAAGCUUUUGCGGUACAGGAUGGACCCGCGUCUGAUUAGCUAGUUGGUAAGGUAACGGCUUACCAAGGCGACGAUCAGUAGCCGACCUGAGAGGGUGAUCGGCCACAUUGGAACUGAGACACGGUCCAAACUCCUACGGGAGGCAGCAG